rnacentral:lncRNA from 1 species
GUGUGUAGGAGAGGAACACUUAAAAGGGAGAAGGCUCUGCUUCGUUCGGUUCAUGGCUUCCAAGGAUCUGCCCAGGGCUGCAGCAUCCGUGGAUGCCAGGCGGAGGUGGGACAGGAGCAUGAUGGGUAGGAGUUGCUUGCCUUACCACGCCCGGAAGCAGACAGGAAGAGGCGAACCCUAAUGACCCGAUCCUUUAGACUCUUUCCUUCAAGCUCCUCCGGACGCCGCAGAUCCAUCUCCUUAUCCUGGAUGCUGCUGAUUCUACACCCAGAUCCCUUGGUCAUCGUCUUGACCCAAAUGAGGUAUUGCUGUCCAAAUGUGGAUGUGCUCAGAGCAUCACAGACCACAGUCAGCUCCCAUCCGCCGUGGAGUCUACGUGUUGCUAUCUAUGGUUGGCUUCAUCCUAGAAUGGCUGGGGUCCCCACAUCUCAUGUUAUACUCACAACACACUGUUUCCUCAAUACUUUAUUCUCUAUGUGAAUCUGAUUUGAGGCUUUCCCUCUCCUGCUUGUGAGACUGAUCUUUUCCGUGACUCCUGGUAGGAGAAAGUAAAGUGAAGGGGAGGGCCACUCACUGUGUGCUAGACAGUUUCACCACUCAUCUGUAGCUAGUGACAGCCCUGUGAAGCCAGUCUAAUUGUCCCCAAUUUGUAGACAUCAAAAC